rnacentral:sRNA from 1 species
GCUGGGUAUGGUGAUGCAUGCCUGUAAUCCCAGCCACUCAGGAGGCUGAGGCAGUAGGAUUGAAAUUUAGCCUCAG